AUGACCAGACGCCUGCGCUCCCCUUUGUCUGGUUGGUUGUGCGAGGUACGGCGAUGGCUGGAGAUGGUGGAGGGAUGGCGCAGUGAAGGUGGAGAUGGAUCGAUGAUGGUGGAUGCUGGUGAUGGCGCGGUGGCGCGGCUGCGAUGGAUGGAUGGUGUAGGGGGAGGAGAGUGGUGGCGCGCGGUGGUGCUGGUGGUGAUGGUGAUGUGGUGGGAGCGCGAUGGCACGGGUGGAGGUGCUGUGGGGUUGUGGAGCAGGUGGAGGUGCUGGGUGGCGUGCCGCCACGCCGGCCUGGCCGCGGCGGCGGCCGGAGGUGGAAGAAGGAGGCGGGGGAAAGAGGGGAUGGAGAUGCCAGGCACGAAAGGGGAUUAG
rnacentral:rRNA from 1 species